rnacentral:lncRNA from 1 species
GUGCCAGGAGCCUGCCUCAGCAAAACAAACCCCUGCAACAGCACCUUCAGUGCCCUCUGCCAGCACCUUCCUCCUCUUCCUCCUCCACUGCCUGCAGCAGGGAACUUGGAGGACGUGAAGGAGGACCAGGGAACUGAACGGGCCCCUCUGGAAACCUCCCAGCGGCGCUUGCUCAUUAAGAGCAACUUUCAAAGAUCCGCCAGCUACAAGUUCUUCAUCUGCGUAAAAUACUCCCGAGCGGAUUUUGCUCGGUGUGUGUUUCCUCAGCACGUCAGGCAACGCCAAGCCCGAGUCUGUGAUUAUUGUAUCAACAAUUCCCUCCAUCAGCCAGAUCUGCAAUCUCGUCAAGUUCACUUGACAAGCCCCAUCUUGCAGGCUGCGGCGCUGACGGGCGCUAAUGAGCCCUCCUGCCUUUAUUUGCGCAGUCCCCGUAUCAGCCUCUCCGCGAGGAGGCCCAGUGCCCACGGCCGCGGCCCCUCGGGGUUUGCCCCUCGGCAGGGUCCCGGUGCCACACGGCUCCUGCCUCCCGCAGGAAGCCUCUCCCUGCUCCCGUCCGCUGCCCGGCGAGGACUUUUCUGGCCUCCUCGCCAGCCUGCCUGCCGCAGCGGCCCCGCUCCUGGAGUGGGAGGCACGGGCAGCACCCAGCGCUGCUCUCACCCCGAGAAGGCAGCUCUGAGGCGUCAGACAAAGAGGCACGGGCGCCUCCUGACAAAGCAGCUCCGAGGAGCCCGGCUGCAGCUGGCACAGCCUGGGCAGGCCCUGGCAGGCUCACCGAGGAGAUCCGCGCCGCCACACGCGGGGCAGGAGGAGGCCCGGGGCGGCCGGUCCGACCGUCACGGGCCUCUGGAGAUGUCCCGAGCUGCGUGGGGCCUCCCUGGGCCGGGAGGUCGUCGCCUCCGCGGAGCAACAAGCACCGGGCUGCAAAGAGGGAGCAAAAGGGGGCAGGCAGCAGGAGGCCGUGUGAGGGGCCAGCAGGGCCUGAGCCCGCACACCCAGCGCUGUACCUGCGGCGGGGAGCCCCGGGAGCAGCCCCCGUGCUGCUGCUGCUGCUGCUGCUGCCGGCCGGCACGUCGCAGGGCAGGAGCCCCCCCGGGGGCUGGCUGCUGCAGGGGGCACAGCCCGCUCCUGCCCGCCCCCGCGGACCCGCGGCCGGGGACCCGCGGCCGGGCCACUCACCUCCUGCGGCGGCUCGUCGGGCGGCUCGGGGCCGGCGGGGGGCGAGCCGGGGGCGGCGGG